UACGGAGGGUGCAAGCGUUAUCCGGAUUCACUGGGUUUAAAGGGUGCGUAGGUGGGUCUGUAAGUCCGUGGUGAAAUCUCCGAGCUUAACUUGGAAACUGCCAUGGAUACUAUAGGUCUUGAAUACUGUGGGGGUCAGCGGAAUAUGUCAUGUAGCGGUGAAAUGCUUAGAUAUGACAUAGAACACCAAUUGCGAAGGCAGCUGGCUACACAAAUAUUGACACUGAGGCACGAAAGCGUGGGGAUCAAACAGG
rnacentral:rRNA from 1 species